UACGGGGGGGGCAAGCGUUGUUCGGAAUUACUGGGCGUAAAGGGCUCGUAGGCGGCCAACUAAGUCAUACGUGAAACUCCCUCGGCUUAACCGGGGAACUGCGUCUGAUACUGGAUGGCUUGAGUUCGGGAGAGGGAUGCGGAAUUCCAGGUGUAGCGGUGAAAUGCGUAGAUAUCUGGAGGAACACCGGUGGCGAAGGCGGCGUUCUGGACUGCAACUGACACUGAGGAACGAAAGCCAGGGGAGCAAACGGG
rnacentral:rRNA from 1 species